AUACGGCCCAUAUUCCUACGGGAAGCAGCAGUAGGGAAUCUUCCACAAUGGACGAAAGUCUGAUGGAGCAAUACCAUGUGAACGAUGAAGGUCUUUUUGAUUGUAAAGUUCUUUUAUGAGGGAUAACAACUGAUAGUACCUCAUGAAUAAGUGACAGCAAACUAUGUGCCAGCAGCUGCGGUAAUACAUAGGUCGCAAGCAUUAUUCGGAUUUAUUGGGCGUAAAGCAAGCGCAGGCGGAUGUGUAAGUUCUGUGUUAAAAGUAGCUACUUAAUAGUUGUUUGCACCGAAUACUACAUGUCUAGAAUGUGGUAGGAAGUUUUGGAAUUAAACAUGGAGCGGUGGAAUGUGUAGAUAUGUUUAAGAACACCGGAGGCGAAGGCGAAAACUUAGGCCAUAAUUGACGCUUAGGCUUGAAAGUGUGGGGAGCAAAUGGGAUUAGAUACCCCAGUAGUCCACACCGUAAACGAUGGGUAUUAGGUAUUGGGGUUUGAGCCUCAGUGCUGUAGCUAACGUGUUAAAUACCCCGCCUGGGUAGUACAUAUGCAAAUAUGAAACUCAAAGGA
rnacentral:rRNA from 1 species